UAAUGGGUGAUGGCGUGCCUUUUGUAGAAUGAACCGGCGAGUUACGAUUUGAUGCAAGGUUAAGCAGUAAAUGUGGAGCCGUAGCGAAAGCGAGUCUGAAUAGGGCGUUUAGUAUUUGGUCGUAGACCCGAAACCAGGUGAUCUACCCUUGGUCAGGUUGAAGUUCAGGUAACACUGAAUGGAGGACCGAACCGACUUACGUUGAAAAGUGAGCGGAUGAACUGAGGGUAGCGGAGAAAUUCCAAUCGAACCUGGAGAUAGCUGGUUCUCUCCGAAAUAGCUUUAGGGCUAGCCUCAAGUGAUGAUUAUUGGAGGUAGAGCACUGUUUGGACGAGGGGCCCCUCUCGGGUUACCGAAUUCAGACAAACUCCGAAUGCCAAUUAAUUUAACUUGGGAGUCAGAACAUGGGUGAUAAGGUCCGUGUUCGAAAGGGAAACAGCCCAGACCACCAGCUAAGGUCCCAAAAUAUAUGUUAAGUGGAAAAGGAUGUGGCGUUGCCCAGACAACUAGGAUGUUGGCUUAGAAGCAGCCAUCAUUUAAAGAGUGCGUAAUAGCUCACUAGUCGAGUGACACUGCGCCGAAAAUGUACCGGGGCUAAACAUAUUACCGAAGCUGUGGAUUGUCCUUUGGACAAUGGUAGGAGAGCGUUCUAAGGGCGUUGAAGCAUGAUCGUAAGGACAUGUGGAGCGCUUAGAAGUGAGAAUGCCGGUGUGAGUAGCGAAAGACGGGUGAGAAUCCCGUCCACCGAUUGACUAAGGUUUCCAGAGGAAGGCUCGUCCGCUCUGGGUUAGUCGGGUCCUAAGCUGAGGCCGACAGGCGUAGGCGAUGGAUAACAGGUUGAUAUUCCUGUACCACCUAUAAUCGUUUUAAUCGAUGGGGGGACGCAGUAGGAUAGGCGAAGCGUGCGAUUGGAUUGCACGUCUAAGCAGUAAGGCUGAGUAUUAGGCAAAUCCGGUACUCGUUAAGGCUGAGC
rnacentral:rRNA from 1 species